rnacentral:rRNA from 1 species
AGUGAACGCUGGCGGUAGGCCUAACACAUGCAAGUCGAACGGCAGCACAGUAAGAGCUUGCUCUUACGGGUGGCGAGUGGCGGACGGGUGAGGAAUACAUCGGAAUCUACUUUUUCGUGGGGGAUAACGUAGGGAAACUUACGCUAAUACCGCAUACGACCUACGGGUGAAAGCAGGGGAUCUUCGGACCUUGCGCGAUUGAAUGAGCCGAUGUCGGAUUAGCUAGUUGGCGGGGUAAAGGCCCACCAAGGCGACGAUCCGUAGCUGGUCUGAGAGGAUGAUCAGCCACACUGGAACUGAGACACGGUCCAGACUCCUACGGGAGGCAGCAGUGGGGAGUAUUGGACAAUGGGCGCAAGCCUGAUCCAGCCAUACCGUGUGGGUGAAGAAGGCCUUCGGGUUGUAAAGCCCUUUUGUUGGGAAAGAAAAGCAGCAGGUUAAUACCCCGCUGUUCUGACGGUACCCAAAGAAUAAGCACCGGCUAACUUCGUG